rnacentral:rRNA from 1 species
ACAGAUGGGAGCUUGCUCCCUGAUGUUAGCGGCGGACGGGUGAGUAACACGUGGGUAACCUGCCUGUAAGACUGGGAUAACUCCGGGAAACCGGGGCUAAUACCGGAUGGUUGUCUGAACCGCAUGGUUCAGACAUAAAAGGUGGCUUCGGCUACCACUUACAGAUGGACCCGCGGCGCAUUAGCUAGUUGGUGAGGUAACGGCUCACCAAGGCGACGAUGCGUAGCCGACCUGAGAGGGUGAUCGGCCACACUGGGACUGAGACACGGCCCAGACUCCUACGGGAGGCAGCAGUAGGGAAUCUUCCGCAAUGGACGAAAGUCUGACGGAGCAACGCCGCGUGAGUGAUGAAGGUUUUCGGAUCGUAAAGCUCUGUUGUUAGGGAAGAACAAGUGCCGUUCAAAUAGGGCGGCACCUUGACGGUACCUAACCAGAAAGCCACGGCUAACUACGUGCCAGCAGCCGCGGUAAUACGUAGGUGGCAAGCGUUGUCCGGAAUUAUUGGGCGUAAAGGGCUCGCAGGCGGUUUCUUAAGUCUGAUGUGAAAGCCCCCGGCUCAACCGGGGAGGGUCAUUGGAAACUGGGGAACUUGAGUGCAGAAGAGGAGAGUGGAAUUCCACGUGUAGCGGUGAAAUGCGUAGAGAUGUGGAGGAACACCAGUGGCGAAGGCGACUCUCUGGUCUGUAACUGACGCUGAGGAGCGAAAGCGUGGGGAGCGAACAGGAUUAGAUACCCUGGUAGUCCACGCCGUAAACGAUGAGUGUAAGGGGGUUAGGGGGUUUCCGCCCCUUAGUGCUGCAGCUAACGCAUUAGCACUCCGC